rnacentral:rRNA from 1 species
UACGAAGGGGGCUAGCGUUGCUCGGAAUUACUGGGCGUAAAGGGCGCGUAGGCGGUUGGAUAAGUCAGCUGUGAAAACCACGGGCUUAACUCGUGGCCUGCAGUUGAGACUGUCUGGCUUGAGUGUGGGAGAGGAGAGUGGAAUUCCUGGUGUAGCGGUGAAAUGCGUAGAUAUCAGGAGGAACACCGGUGGCGAAGGCGGCUCUCUGGACCACAACUGACGCUGAGGCGCGAAAGCUAGGGGAGCAAACAGG